rnacentral:rRNA from 1 species
GACGAACGCUGGCGGCGUGCUUAACACAUGCAAGUCGAGCGGAAAGGCCCCUUCGGGGGUACUCGAGCGGCGAACGGGUGAGUAACACGUGGGUAAUCAACCCCUGACAUCGGGAUACCCCGGGGAAACCCGGAGCAAUACCGGAUAAGGUGCGGAGGCGCAGGUCGCCGUACCAAAGGUAGCUUCGGCUUCCGGUCAGGGCCGAGCCCGCGGCCCAUUAGCUUGUUGGUGGGGUAAUGGCCUACCAAGGCGACGAUGGGUAGCUGGUCUGAGAGGACGAUCAGCCACACUGGGACUGAGACACGGCCCAGACUCCUACGGGAGGCAGCAGUGGGGAAUCUUGCGCAAUGGGCGGAAGCCUGACGCAGCAACGCCGUGUGAGUGAAGAAGGGUUUCGGCUCGUAAAACUCUGUUGUUAAGGAAGAACGCCAGGUAGAGUAACUGCUACCUAUGUGACGGUACUUAACCAGAAAGCCACGGCUAACUACGUGCCAGCAGCCGCAGUAA